rnacentral:rRNA from 1 species
GUAAAGGGCUCGCACGCGGUUUCUUAAGUCUGAUGUGAAAGCCCCCGGCUCUACCGGGGAGGGUCAUUGGAAACUGGGGAACUUGAGUGCAGAAGAGGAGAGUGGAAUUCCACGUGUAGCGGUGAAAUGCGUAGAGAUGUGGAGGAACACCAGUGGCGAAGGCGACUCUCUGGUCUGUAACUGACGCUGAGGAGCGAAAGCGUGGGGAGCGAACAGGAUUAGAUACCCUGGUAGUCCACGCCGUAAACGAUGAGUGCUAAGUGUUAGGGGGUUUCCGCCCCUUAGUGCUGCAGCUAACGCAUUAAGCACUCCGCCUGGGGAGUACGGUCGCAAGACUGAAACUCAAAGGAAUUGACGGGGGCCCGCACAAGCGGUGGAGCAUGUGGUUUAAUUUGAAGCAACGCGAAGAACCUUACCAGGUCUUGACAUCCUCUGACAAUCCUAGAGAUAGGACGUCCCCUUCGGGGGCAGAGUGACAGGUGGUGCAC